rnacentral:lncRNA from 1 species
AGCAAAAGAUGCAGGCUUGAAUGCUCAGAUGCUCAAGGGAUCGGGAAGAGAUCUUGUCAGCAUGAAUGCGGCAUUCUGUCAUGUUUAUCCUGCAGUGCUUGACAACUCGAGAAAUCAUGAAACUUGCCUGGUAAACAUAGACCACAAAGCUUCAAUUUGUUCAAGUACUGAGAGAAAACAGGCAGAUUAUCAAGCCACAAUUCUUUGACCAUCCCACCACCACCACCACCAAUGACAGAAACACUCAGCACCCG